UGGACAGAUUAUUGUAUUCGAUUGUAUUCGACAGUAUUCACUGCGUGAAACAGGGGAUUACACUGUUUUUAAAUAGAAAGUGAAUCAAUUAACAUAAUAGACUCCU
rnacentral:pre_miRNA from 1 species